CUACGUGCCAGCAGCCGCGGUAAUACGGAAGGUCCGGGCGUUAUCCGGAUUUAUUGGGUUUAAAGGGAGCGUAGGCUGGAGAUUAAGUGUGUUGUGAAAUGUAGACGCUCAACGUCUGAAUUGCAGCGCGAACUGGUUCACUUGAGUAUGCACAACGUAGGCGGAAUUCGUCGUGUAGCGGUGAAAUGCUUAGAUAUGACGAAGAACUCCGAUUGCGAAGGCAGCUUACGGGAGCACAACUGACGCUGAAGCUCGAAGGUGCGGGUAUCAAACAGGAUUAGAUACCCUGGUAGUCCGCACAGUAAACGAUGGAUGCCCGUUGUUAGUUCACUUAAGAAUUAGCGACCAAGCGAAAGCAUUAAGCAUCCCACCUGGGGAGUACGCCGGCAACGGUGAAACUCAAAGGAAUUGACGGGGGCCCGCACAAGCGGAGGAACAUGUGGUUUAAUUCGAUGAUACGCGAGGAACCUUACCCGGGCUUGAAUUGCAGACGAACGAUUCAGAGA
rnacentral:rRNA from 1 species